UACGUAGGGUGCGAGCGUUGUCCGGAAUUAUUGGGCGUAAAGGGCUUGUAGGCGGUUUGUCGCGUCGGGAGUGAAAACAUCCAGCUUAACUGGGUGCUUGCUUUCGAUACGGGCAGACUUGAGGUAUGCAGGGGAGAAUGGAAUUCCUGGUGUAGCGGUGAAAUGCGCAGAUAUCAGGAGGAACACCGGUGGCGAAGGCGGUUCUCUGGGCAUUACCUGACGCUGAGGAGCGAAAGUGUGGGGAGCGAACAGG
rnacentral:rRNA from 1 species